rnacentral:rRNA from 1 species
UACGUAGGUGGCAAGCGUUGUCCGGAAUUACUGGGUGUAAAGGGCGUGUAGGCGGGAAUGUAAGUCAGAUGUGAAAUCCCGGGGCUCAACUCCGGAGCUGCAUCUGAAACUAUAUUUCUUGAGUGCUGGAGAGGAAAGCGGAAUUCCUAGUGUAGCGGUGAAAUGCGUAGAGAUUAGGAGGAACACCAGUGGCGAAGGCGGCUUUCUGGACAGUAACUGACGCUGAGGCGCGAAAGCGUGGGGAGCAAACAGG